UACGGGGGGGGCAAGCGUUGUUCGGAAUUACUGGGCGUAAAGGGCUCGUAGGCGGCCAACUAAGUCGGACGUGAAAUCCCUCGGCUUAACCGGGGAACUGCGUCCGAUACUGGAUGGCUCGAGUUUGGGAGAGGGAUGCGGAAUUCCAGGUGUAGCGGUGAAAUGCGUAGAUAUCUGGAGGAACACCGGUGGCGAAGGCGGCAUCCUGGACCAACACUGACGCUGAGGUAGCGAAAGCCGGGAGGGCAAACGGG
rnacentral:rRNA from 1 species